AUUGAACGCUGGCGGCAUGCCUUACACAUGCAAGUCGAACGGCAGCACGGGAGCAAUCCCGGUGGCGUGUGGCGAACGGGUGAGUAAAGUAUCGGAACGUGCCCAGUCGUGGGGGAUAACGUAGCGAAAGUUACGCUAAUACCGCAUACGAUCUAUGGAUGAAAGCGGGGGAUCGCAAGACCUCGCGCGAUUGGAGCGGCCGAUAUCAGAUUAGGUAGUUGGUGGGGUAAAGGCUCGCCAAGCCGACGAUCUGUAGCUGGUCAGAGAGGACGACCAGCCACGCUGGGACUGAGACACGGCCCAGACUACUACUGGAGGCAGCAGUGGGGAAUUUUGGACAAUGGGCGAAAGCCUGAUCCAGCCAUGCCGCGUGCAGGAUGAAGGCCUUCGGGUUGUAAACUGCUUUUGUACGGAACGAAAAGGUUUGGCCUAAUAAGCUGAGCUCAUGACGGUACCGUAAGAAUAAGCACCGGCUAACUACGUGCCAGCCGCCGCCGUAA
rnacentral:rRNA from 1 species